AAAUUGAAGAGUUUGAUCAUGGCUCAGAUUGAACGCUGGCGGCAGGCCUAACACAUGCAAGUCGAACGGUAACAGGAAGCAGCUUGCUGCUUUGCUGACGAGUGGCGGACGGGUGAGUAAUGUCUGGGAAACUGCCUGAUGGAGGGGGAUAACUACUGGAAACGGUGGCUAAUACCGCAUAACGUCGCAAGACCAAAGAGGGGGACCUUCGGGCCUCUUGCCAUCAGAUGUGCCCAGAUGGGAUUAGCUUGUUGGUGAGGUAACGGCUCACCAAGGCGACGAUCCCUAGCUGGUCUGAGAGGAUGACCAGCCACACUGGAACUGAGACACGGUCCAGACUCCUACGGGAGGCAGCAGUGGGGAAUAUUGCACAAUGGGCGCAAGCCUGAUGCAGCCAUGCCGCGUGUAUGAAGAAGGCCUUCGGGUUGUAAAGUACUUUCAGCGGGGAGGAAGGUGUUGUGGUUAAUAACCACAGCAAUUGACGUUACCCGCAGAAGAAGCACCGGCUAACUCCGUGCCAGCAGCCGCGGUAAUACGGAGGGUGCAAGCGUUAAUCGGAAUUACUGGGCGUAAAGCGCACGCAGGCGGUCUGUCAAGUCGGAUGUGAAAUCCCCGGGCUCAACCUGGGAACUGCAUUCGAAACUGGCAGGCUUGAGUCUUGUAGAGGGGGGUAGAAUUCUAGGUGUAGCGGUGAAAUGCGUAGAGAUCUGGAGGAAUACCGGUGGCGAAGGCGGCCCCCUGGACAAAGACUGACGCUCAGGUGCGAAAGCGUGGGGAGCAAACAGGAUUAGAUACCCUGGUAGUCCACGCCGUAAACGAUGUCUACUUGGAGGUUGUGCCCUUGAGGCGUGGCUUCCGGAGCUAACGCGUUAAGUAGACCGCCUGGGGAGUACGGCCGCAAGGUUAAAACUCAAAUGAAUUGACGGGGGCCCGCACAAGCGGUGGAGCAUGUGGUUUAAUUCGAUGCAACGCGAAGAACCUUACCUGGUCUUGACAUCCACAGAACUUUCCAGAGAUGGACUGGUGCCUUCGGGAACUGUGAGACAGGUGCUGCAUGGCUGUCGUCAGCUCGUGUUGUGAAAUGUUGGGUUAAGUCCCGCAACGAGCGCAACCCUUAUCCUUUGUUGCCAGCGGUCCGGCCGGGAACUCAAAGGAGACUGCCAGUGAUAAACUGGAGGAAGGUGGGGAUGACGUCAAGUCAUCAUGGCCCUUACGACCAGGGCUACACACGUGCUACAAUGGCGCAUACAAAGAGAAGCGACCUCGCGAGAGCAAGCGGACCUCAUAAAGUGCGUCGUAGUCCGGAUUGGAGUCUGCAACUCGACUCCAUGAAGUCGGAAUCGCUAGUAAUCGUGGAUCAGAAUGCCACGGUGAAUACGUUCCCGGGCCUUGUACACACCGCCCGUCACACCAUGGGAGUGGGUUGCAAAAGAAGUAGGUAGCUUAACCUUCGGGAGGGCGCUUACCACUUUGUGAUUCAUGACUGGGGUGAAGUCGUAACAAGGUAACCGUAGGGGAACCUGCGGUUGGAUCACCUCCUUACCUUAAAGAAGC
rnacentral:rRNA from 1 species